CAAUAGGUGGCGCAGUUGGAGGGGGAGAAAGCCAGCCUUUCUGAGGAGUGUAAACAGAAGACGAAACGUCUGGAACAGGUCGAAAACGGAAUGGACGCCUUGUUGAAAGAGUGAACUACGAGUGCAACGUCGUUGAGAUAUUGGAACAGGUCCUCCGUAGCAAUAGUCCUACUUCACAGCAGUACCAUUGACCCAUGUCGGUUACUACAACUACGCAUUCAGAGAGAAAGUAUAUAGAUAGUACGUUUUAUAAAGUGAAGCGACUUUCACUGGAAUCUAUGUUUAUUAAGCUGUUAUGGGUUAACUCCCCACCUAUCUCACCUCACUGCUUUCCAGGUCAAUAGAUGUAAAACAAGGUCAAAACAUACGAUGACCUUCAGAUCCCAUGGGUGCCUUUGGAUUUUGGCAAAGACAGCGUUUAGCUAUGAUACGCAGAGUAGAGGGCUAGGCUCCUGGAUGACCUCGGCCUGGAGGAGUUAGUCUUGAUUCCAGCUUUAUUACCUUUUUAAUGAUUUUUAUAUUGUAAACUGCUAAUAUUUUGAUAACUCUUUCGUGUUUGAUAAUUUUGUGUUUUUAUUGAUAAUAGUGCUUUAAUGUCUACUGCUUGUUGUAACUACAUGUGAUUUUUUAGUUUUGUUCUGUAAUCCAGGACAUUGCUGUAAGGGAGACUUGGUCAAAGGCAGAGAGAAAAAAUAUGCAUAAUUUAUAGUGAUCACUUUAUUAAACAAACAUUUCAUGGGUCAGAUGGGAUAUAUAGAUUUACUUUUGUUUCAUUCAUAAAGGACAAUGGCAAUUAAA